UACGUAGGGUGCAAGCGUUGUCCGGAAUUAUUGGGCGUAAAGAGCGUGUAGGCGGCUCGGUUAGUCCGCUGUGAAAGUCCAGGGCUCAACCCUGGAAUGCCGGUGGAUACUGUCGAGCUAGAGUCCGGAAGGGGCGAGUGGAAUUCCUGGUGUAGCGGUGAAAUGCGCAGAUAUCAGGAGGAACACCAAUGGCGAAGGCAGCGCGCUGGGACGUGACUGACGCUGAGACGCGAAAGCGUGGGGAGCGAACAGG
rnacentral:rRNA from 1 species